rnacentral:rRNA from 1 species
CUAACACAUGCAAGUCGAACGAGAAAGUGGAGCAAUCCAUGAGUAAAGUGGCGACCGGGUGAGUAACACGUGACUAACCUACCCUCGAGUGUGGAAUAACAUCGGGAAACCGAUGCUAAUACCGCAUGACAUCGCAAGAUCAAAGGAGCAAUUCGCUUAAGGAGGGGGUCGCGGCCGAUUAGUUAGUUGGCGGGGUAAUGGCCCACCAAGACGAUGAUCGGUAUCCGGCCUGAGAGGGCGCACGGACACACUGGAACUGAAACACGGUCCAGACUCCUACGGGAGGCAGCAGUGGGGAAUUUUGCGCAAUGGGGGAAACCCUGACGCAGCAACGCCGCGUGGAGGAUGAAGCCCCUUGGGGCGUAAACUCCUUUCGAUCGGGACGAUAAUGACGGUACCGGAAGAAGAAGCCCCGGCUAACUUCGUGCCAGCAGCCGCGGUAAU